rnacentral:rRNA from 1 species
GACGAACGCUGGCGGCGUGCUUAACACAUGCAAGUCGAACGGAAAGGCCCCUUUGGGGUUACUCGAGUGGCGAACGGGUGAGUAACACGUGAGUAACCUGCCCUUGACUUCGGGAUAACUUCAGGAAACUGGGGCUAAUACCGGAUAGGAAUCCUUGCUGCAUGGUGGGGGUUGGAAAGCUUCGGCGGGUUUGGAUGGACUCGCGGCUUAUCAGCUUGUUGGUGGGGGAGUGGCUUACCAAGGCUUUGACGGGUAGCCGGACUGAGAGGGCGACCGGCCGCAUUGGGACUGAGAUACGGCCCAGACUCCUACGGGAGGCAGCAGUGGGGAAUAUUGCACAAUGGGCGGAAGACUGAUGCAGCAACGCCGCGUGCGGGAUGACGGCCUUCGGGUUGUAAACCGCUUUCAGCAGGGGCGAAGCUUGUGGUGACGGUACCUGCAGAAGAAGCACCGGCUAACUACGUG